rfam:Idiomarina sp. MCCC 1A10513 contig7, whole genome shotgun sequence.
CCCGCAACCAUUUAACAAAGGGUCCAGUGUUUGAAAAGCCCCGCAGCAGUUCGGGGCUUUUUACUAUGUGACCUCGACUGCUCAAAGCAGUCUAACACUGGGCGUUUACGCCCUUUUUUU